AUUGAACGCUGGCGGCAUGCCUUACACAUGCAAGUCGAACGGUAACGCGGGGCAACCUGGCGACGAGUGGCGAACGGGUGAGUAAUGCAUCGGAACGUGCCCAGUAGUGGGGGAUAGCCCGGCGAAAGCCGGAUUAAUACCGCAUACGACCUACGGGUGAAAGCGGGGGAUCGCAAGACCUCGCGCUAUUGGAGCGGCCGAUGUCAGAUUAGGUAGUUGGUGGGGUAAAGGCCUACCAAGCCUGCGAUCUGUAGCUGGUCUGAGAGGACGACCAGCCACACUGGGACUGAGACACGGCCCAGACUCCUACGGGAGGUAGCAGUGGGGAAUUUUGGACAAUGGGCGCAAGCCUGAUCCAGCCAUGCCGCGUGCGGGAAGAAGGCCUUUGGGUUGUAAACCGCUUUUGUCAGGGAAGAAACGCUCUGGGCUAAUACCCCGGGGUAAUGACGGUACCUGAAGAAUAAGCACCGGCUAACUACGUGCCAGCCGCCGCCGUAACAC
rnacentral:rRNA from 1 species